CCGACGGUGAGAGGCGAAAGCUGGGGGAGCAAACCGGAUUAGAUACCCGGGUAGUCCCAGCUGUAAACGAUGUGCGUUAGGUGUAUCGGUGACCACGAGUCACCGAGGUGCCGAAGAGAAAUCGUGAAACGUACCGCCUGGGAAGUACGGUCGCAAGGCUGAAACUUAAAGGAAUUGGCGGGGGAGCACCACAACAUGUGGAGCCUGCGGUUUAAUCGGACUCAACGCCGGAAAACUCACCAGAUAA
rnacentral:rRNA from 1 species